rnacentral:rRNA from 1 species
CGGACGGGUGAGUAAUGCCUAGGAAUCUGCCUGGUAGUGGAGGACAACGUUUCGAAAGGAACGCUAAUACCGCAUACGUCCUACGGGAGAAAGCAGGGGACCUUCGGGCCUUGCGCUAUCAGAUGAGCCUAGGUCGGAUUAGCUAGUUGGUGAGGUAAUGGCUCACCAAGGCGACGAUCCGUAACUGGUCUGAGAGGAUGAUCAGUCACACUGGAACUGAGACACGGUCCAGACUCCUACGGGAGGCAGCAGUG